CGCGAAAAGUUUUGAACGACAUUAACGGGUUGUUUAUUUUCGAUUUUUUUUUUUUUUUUUUUUUUUUUUUGUCAUUCGAUUGAAAAUAAUUGAUCUUUUUUUUUACGAGUGAUGUAAUAUGGAAUUUCGACGGAACUCGCCGUAACGACGGCAAUUCAAAACCCGUUCGACUGAACUCCGUUCGGAAUCGUUUUCCGCCAGCAGUGAUUUAUCGCCCCUAGGUAUAAACGCAACGGGUCCGCGCACCCUACACACUUUUCACACUUCUCGUCUGCGACGGUGGCACAUCCGUCUCAUCAGCAGUCUCGGCUCUUUUCGUUUAUUGUUAAUUUUUUUUUUUUUUUUUUUUUCUGCUGGCUACACGCGUUUUUGGACUUUCCGCGAUCGCUCCGUAUACCACGCGUACACACGUGUACGUAACGACAACGACGGGACGACGCAAUAAACGCGACGGGCGUCGGCAAAGUGACGAGCGGCGGCGGGGAGAAGGGACGAUUCUAGUGAUACCGAAACAACGCGUAGAAAAACAAAAAAAUAUUUGUUCGCGUAUUCCAG